GCAACGGGUGCGGAACACGUACGCAACCUUCCUUUAAGCGGAGAAUAGCCCAGGGAAACUUGGAUUAAUACUCCAUAAGAUUAUGGUGUGGCAUCACACAGUAAUUAAAGCUCCGGCACUUAAAGAUGGGCGUGCGGAUGAUUUAGGAUAGUUGGCGGGGUAACGGCCCACCAGCCUACGAUCAAGGUAACUGGUGUGAGAGCACGACCAGUCACACGGGCACUGAGACACGGGCCCGACUCCUACGGGAGGCAGCAGUAAGGAAUAUUGGUCAAUGGGACGGAAGCCUGAACCAGCCAUGCCGCGUGCAGGAAGACGGCCCUACGGGUUGUAAACUGCUUUUGCAGGGGAAUAAACCUCCCGACGAGUCGGGAGCUGAAUGUACCUUGAGAAUAAGGAAUCGGAUAACUCCGUGCCAGCAGCCGGGUAAUAGG
rnacentral:rRNA from 1 species